rnacentral:rRNA from 1 species
AUCGGGAAGUAGGACUAACAGGAUUCCCCUAGUAACGGCGAGUGAAGCGGGAAAAGCUCAAAUUUGAAAUCUGGCGGUCCACGGCCGUCCGAGUUGUAGUCUAGAGAGGCGUCUUCCGCGUCGGACCAUGCACAAGUCCCUUGGAACAGGGCGUCGUAGAGGGUGAGAAUCCCGUCUGUGGCAUGGACUCCCGGUGCUCUGUGAUGCGCCUUCGAAGAGUCGAGUUGUUUGGGAAUGCAGCUCAAAACGGGUGGUAAAUUCCAUCUAAAGCUAAAUACAGGCGAGAGACCGAUAGCGAACAAGUACCGUGAGGGAAAGAUGAAAAGCACUUUGGAAAGAGAGUUAAACAGUACGUGAAAUUGUUGAAAGGGAAACGCUUGGAGUCAGUCGCGUUUGCCAGGACUCAGCCUUGCUUUUGCCUGGCGCACUUCCUGGUACACGGGCCAGCAUCAAUUUUGACCGCCGGAAAAGGGCUUGGGGAAGGUGGCACCUCCGGGUGUGUUAUAGCCCCUCGUCGUAUACGGUGGUUGGGAUCGAGGACCGCAGCACGCCUUUACGGUCGGGGUUCGCCCACGCCACGUGCUUAGGAUGCUGGCGUAAUGGCUUUAAACGACCCGUCUUGAAACACGGACCAAGGAGUCUAACAUGCCUGCGAGUGUUUGGGUGUAAAACCCGAGCGCGUAAUGAAAGUGAAAGGUUGGGACUCUUCGAUGAGGCACCGACGCCCGAUCCUGACGUUCUCUGACGGAUUUGAGGUAGAGCAUGUAUGUUGGGACCCGAAAGAUGGUGAACUAUGCCUGAAUAGGGCGAAGCCAGAGGAAACUCUGGUGGAGGCUCGUAGCGAUUCUGACGUGCAAAUCGAUCGUCAAAUUUGGGUAUAGGGGCGAAAGACUAAUCGAACCAUCUAGUAGCUGGUUCCUGCCGAGCUCUCCCCCUCCAGUAGUAAAA